GUUUAUUGUUAUUAUUUUAUGAGACAGUGUUUUCAAGUGCAUCUUUUUUUUUUCAAGGUUGUAGUCUGGAUCGUGUUCGAGUCCCAGAUUGGAGGUGUCUUUUGUCUUUUCUGGUGUUUCCGUCGUAACGUUUUCAUUUAUGAUUACCACAAUGACGUACUUCAGAGAGAGAGAGGAUUCACUCUUUCUUUUGGCUGAUGUCACUGCAACUCCAGCAGAUGUAGAGAGAAGCUUCACUGUUCCCAGAAUCCCA